rnacentral:lncRNA from 1 species
GUCUAGACCCUAACUCUUUCGCCCAAUGACCCUAUUCACUAAGCGAAUUUCCAAACAGUGGUCCAGACCAUCAGCCAUCUCGCCUAGCGACCCAACUCGCUAGGCGAAAAUCUAGACAGUAGUCUAGACAUUUCAGCCACUCACUGAGUGACUCCACUCGCUCAGCGAGUCUACAUACUUUUGUAGCACAAAACUGUAGAAUUAUGCAACCUGCAC